rnacentral:piRNA from 1 species
AAGAUUGUGAUCUGUGGGAUUUGGG